CAGCACCAGGAGGACAGGGUUCCAUGUGCACAGCCAGGCUCUCCCCCAGCAGCUUGGGAAGGCUCCUGGGAAGUCUCAUGCCUGACCAGGGAACUCAUGUUCAAACCCACGUGCUGCAGAGCAAGAUAAUCCUGAAGGUCUUCAAGUGCUGCCAGGACUGUUCUGGAUACCAUAUAUUCAAUCUGUGCAGCAGAGGUUUCUUUGGCAGAAGAAACAUCAGCCCCUUCUGCACCAGCUCAGGGAUUUGUUUUCAAGCCUGAGCACUGAGGCUUGAUUCCUACAUCUGCCAGGAGGAAUGAGAACAUAGAAUUUCUCUCCCAGAUCAGAAUCACAACCAUCAAAUAGCAUUUUACAGCACAGCAUUUUCACCUCCGGACUGCAGAAUUUUGUAUUCAUCCAGAGAACAGAAGAAUGUCAACACUGAAACUGCAAAUAUUUUUUUCCUAAAAACGUACAACAGCAAAGUGGUUAAGCACAGUCCACUAGGAAAUGGAUAAUGGAAAUUUAAAUUACAGAGGCAAACAAAAGAGUUGAAUGCUGCUCCACCUCCGCCUUGACAGAUGGGUUGUCCCUUGACUGAGUUUGACCUGAAUU